AGUGUAUUAUCUGAGACGCAACUCGUGAGGAGGUGAGCUCGACGGUGACAAAGAGUUCAAAUAUUUCGGUAAAAGCGCUUCGUUGAUUUCGUCGUUGGUGUUACAGUGUUCAGCGCUGUCUACGCUCGUGUAUAUUCUUUCGCGUUUCUCGGACAGUAUCGCGCAUUUGGCUGCUUCUUUGUAUUGCUUCUCUUUCAUGUACUCUCCAUAUACAUCGUUGACUAUAUUCGAAUCUGCAGAUGCUACGCAACGUUCUGGCAGCAGAAGAUUAUCUUCCGAAUCGUUCAACGCACCGCUUCCUACGUCCACCACAUCUGCCAAUUCAUAUGGCAUGGUGCCAAUAUUGACUUUACAUUGGCGAGCUGAUUGGUCUGUGCUCCAUCCAGAUGUACAUAUAAUCUGAAAUAGAAAAUAUAUUAACAGCAACGAUGGAAAAUAAUAUAAUAAAAACUUGAAAACCUUGUUGAGCUGUACAGCUUUAGCGGUGCGUUCAACUUGCCCCUCCCAAGCAAUGCAUUGAACGCGUAUUCACGAUCCAUUGUUGAUGGCGAAUUUCAUUAGUGUGUACUUUUUUAUUUUUCAAACAAUUUUUGGGCGUUCGACAAUGUCCACGUAGCCAAUAACUUCUCUAAAAGUAAGAACAAAGCAUGAUACAUUUUCAGAAUUUCAUUUGCAUAUUGAUAAAUAUAUUUUAAUAGCAUAAGAGGCGUAUUAUAAAUUAUAUUAUGAUUAAAACUACUUACACGGAUCAUCGAUGGAUAUACUUUCGAAAACUUCGCUUGAAGAUAAAAAUAUUUAAUUUCCCGACAUUUUGAUAUUUUUGUAAGAGCCUUUUACCGCUUCGAAAUCUUCUUCGCGAAUAAACGCUAUUAAAGAAAA